rnacentral:rRNA from 1 species
GAUCCUGGCUCAGGAUGAACGCUGGCGGCGUGCUUAACACAUGCAAGUCGAACGAAGCAUUUAAGACAGAUUUCUUCGGAAUGAAGUUUUUUAUGACUGAGUGGCGGACGGGUGAGUAACGCGUGGGUAACCUGCCUCACACAGGGGGGAUAGCAGUUGGAAACGACUGGUAAUACCGCAUAAGCGCACAGCUUCGCAUGAAGCGGUGUGAAAAACUCCGGUGGUGUGAGAUGGACCCGCGUCUGAUUAGGUAGUUGGUGAGGUUAAACGGGCCCACCAAGCCGACGAUCAGUAGCCGGCCUGAGAGGGUGAACGGCCACAUUGGGACUGAGACACGGCCCAAACUCCUACGGGAGGCAGCAGUGGGGAAUAUUGCACAAUGGGGGAAACCCUGAUGCAGCGACGCCGCGUGAGUGAUGAAGUAUUUCGGUAUGUAAAACUCUAUCAGCAGGGAAGAUAAUGACGGUACCUGACUAAGAAGCACCGGCUAAAUACGUG